UGUAAAAAGUGUUCCUGCCAAAAUGAUUCAACUGAGUCGAGAGGAAAACUUUGGUUUGAAGUUGAGUUUUCUGCUGUUAUGUGGUUUCUGUUUGUACUCUGUGUUUUAUCCUCUGAGUUUAACUCCGGUGACUUUUUGUGAAGAAGGAAACGAAGGUGACAAAUGUCAGUCAGAAAUUCAGGUAUUUGUGAAGUCCCUGGACACAGUGAGCUUGUUGCUGCCUUAUGAUUAUGACAUGUUUGACUUUUGCAAGGAUUACAAGGAAAAGAGGUCACCUGUGAACCUUGGACAAUUCCUGUUUGCUAAUCGAAGUGAGUCAUCACCGUACAAGUUCACUUUCAGGAAAGACCAGAAAUGCCAGUCUGUACGUUCCAAAUUCUACAAGUGGUGAUGCAGCCAAACUGGACCUUCUGAAGAUGGCUAUGCAGCUGAACUAUCAGCAUCACUGGAUCAUUGAUGACCUGCCAGUGACUUGGUGCUAUGAUGUUGAGGAUGGUCGAAAGUACUGCAGCCCGGGCUUCCCCAUUGGGUGUCUCAUUACUUCAGAUGGCAGAGCUAAAGAUGCUUGCGUCAUCAGUUUCAACAGGAGGAGCACAUUUUACAUCUUCAACCAUGUGAACAUCAGGAUCAUUUACAACAGCAGAGAAUUAGAAGGUUCAGGGGGCGUUCGGCUGGUCAGUGCCAAUCUGGAGCCUAUGAGCAUCAAACAUUUGGAUCUGAAAGCGGCAGAUUGUGGAGAACAGCCCAUGGGUAUUCUGGUCGAUUUCGAUGAUGUUUCGAUAACUUACUCGUACUCUUUGUUGUUUGAGGUAGGCCUCCACGUGACAUGAACGUGGUCUUCUUCACAGCAUAUUUAAUGUUUAACAGUCUGCAAAUGAUCAUGUGCUAGAGGCUGUCAGUGUUCUUUGCAAGGUUUUUACAUUGUUUUUCAGGAAAAUAAUAACAUCAACUGGGCCUCCAGGUGGGACUACAUAGGGCUGCCCAGGCCUCACACUGACCUCCGCUGGUUUAGGUUUGAGGAGAUUUUACUAUGUGGGCUCAGAACAGGAGCUCACUGAAGCCAAUGUGGUGCUUUUAAUUUGACAGUGUGUUGUGUCUUCUGUAUUUGUGCAGCAUCGUUACUGGCUUGGUCGUUGCUGUUUUCCUGUCUGGGGCGGUCACCAAGAUCAUGCUGAAAAUCCUGCGUAAGGAUAUCAUACAAUACAACAAAGUUGACCAGGAGGGCUGGUGCUGACUGGGUUAUGCGCUGCCUUGACCUACCAGAAAAUUGGCAAGAUGGCUGCUACCAGAACCACAACCCCACAUCUGUUCGUCAUGAUUAACAAGGAGUCAUCAGGGUGGAAGCAGAUUCAUGGAGGUGUAUUCUGUCCCCCCAAGAAUGGCAUGUUGCUGUCUGCGUUUGUGGGUCAGGGCACUCAGCUCUUCAUCAUGACCUUCGUCACAGUGUGUACAGUUGGCUUCUUUUCCUGCUGCUGGUUUGUAAAUAAGAUCUACAGCAGGGGUGCAAGCAGCCAAGGACAGGAGGGCAUCUUUGUUAUCCCGACAAAGGAAACGGCGAACGGCUCCAUUUUUGAACAAAAGAGCGGUUUUACCUCUCCAUCUGCCGAUCCCCUGUGACAUGCAAUGAAACGAGAGAGAGAGAGAGAGAGAGAGAGAGAGAGAGAGAGAGAGAGAGAGAGAGAGAGAGAGAGAACUUUCUUUGGUAAGCGUUGCCAUCUGUUCAUCUGUCAAUAUCAGUCACAGUCAAUAUCGGCCCUUUAUUUUGCUAACUGCAGUUAGCAAAAUGAAGUUCAUAAAACAUUAGAACAAGAACGUUUGUCAGAUCUUAUCAGAACGUUAGCUGUAAAGUUCUCGGAACAUUUUUAAGGGCCCCUUCUUACAUAGUACAUUCGUACUAUGUAUGAAGCUAUUAGGCUGUUUAAUGCACAUUGACUAUUAAAUUGAUGUCCGUGGCUUUGCACUUUCAUUUUUUUUUAAUUGUAUAUUAUAUAUUAAUGAUAGAUGUAUGACAUUUAUGUCUGUGUGAGCUGCUGCAACAGCAUAAUUUCCUGAGAAGGAGCAAUAAAGUAUCUAUCUAUCUAUCUAUCUAUCUAUCUAUCUAUCUAUCUAUCUAUCUAUCUAUCUAUCUAUCUAUCUAUCUAUCUAUCUAUC